rnacentral:lncRNA from 1 species
UAAAUAGUAGCUAGACAUUAAUUAAGUCCGUGUGAGGAGGAUUCAUGGGAACAUUCGACUUGAAAUGGUUUGCCUUGUAUGAUUUGUUAUAUUUUCCUCUCCUCUCGUUAUUGCCUUGCACUCUUUUUACUUGGAACAUUUUUCGUCUUGAUACUUUUUUCCCUUGGAUAAUGACAAAGGACUACUUCUUCUUAGCUUGUAAGACGGAUUUAUACCGUUGUACUCCAGCUUUGAGAAAUUUGAAACAAAAAGGUAAACAAGCUUGGCUAUCGCAAUUAUUCGAUUAUUCGAAUCUUAAUCUGGGACUACUAAAGGGGGGCUUACUACUUCUUUUUGACCUACAAAUCCUAUAGACCCUAGUAGGUACGACUUUGAAUUCCAUUACACAGCUGUUAGCAGAAGGAGGGAGGUGAGAGAAGUGAGGAUUUGGAAAGAAAUUUCAUUCAUAGUAACUUGGAUGGAUCUCUCCUACGUAGCAAUCGGAUUUAUCGAUCCGCAUCCUUCCUGUUCCUAGAAAUAUCCAAUUCGCUCGUCUUCUGAUACUCUCUUCAAGGGAUAUCGAAUAUUAACAAUAUUGAACAAGUGCUUCAUUUGGUGGAUCUCAUCUCCCUUAAUGGAAGGAUCGUUCAUUGUGCAGGUGCAUCUUCAUAUGAAGAUCUUCUACUGAAUCAUCGUAUACUUCUAUAUAUAUGGACUAAGGAGGUCCAUUAAACAACAGAAUAAUCGACUGAAAGACCCAGUGAGGAACCGAGAGAGUUCUUAUCCUCCAUCCAAAAGUCCUUCUUUGAAAUUAUUGAAAGUCAACUCUGCUUUGUAUCCUACUCUAAGAAAACUAUUUCAUUAAUGAGAGUCGUUCAGUGUCCUUAAUUUAUUGUAUAUUAUGCAGAUAAGACUCAUUGCAAUAAAAUUUAUAUCAAUUCCA